rnacentral:rRNA from 1 species
GCCAUAAGAAGUUCAUUUAUGGUUUAACCUGCCCAAUGUGAGAUAGUCUCAUGAAUGGCCGCGGUACACUGACCGUGCUAAGGUAGCGUAAUCAGUUGGCUUUUAAAUGGAGUCAGGAAUGAAUGGGAUAACUGGGUCUAGCUGUCUCCUGGCUAAUAGAUCGAAUUUACUGUCUAAGUGAAAAAGCUUAGUGAUGGAAAAGGGACGAGAAGACCCUUAGAAUUUUCUUUAAAGUGGGGUUAAGGUCUUCACAAUAAUUUUGUUGGGGCGACAAAGGAAUAAUAACAACUUCCUUGUUUAGACUAGCCGAAUUUUUUAAGUAAGAAUAAAUUACCUGAGGGAUAACAGCAUAAUUCUAUAGAAGAGUUUGUGACCUCGAUGUUGGACUAGGAAACUAGCGAGCUAGCCGUUCGUUGUGUGAGUUCUGUUCGAACUAAAAUUCCU